rnacentral:rRNA from 1 species
AUGCCAAUGUUCAAAAACAAGAUUUUUAUGGAUGGGUUUAUGUGUUCUGCUGGUAUAUAUGCACACAGAAUGGCCUUCAUUAUUUUUGUAUCUGCUGUUAGAUUUGCUUUUAUUUUGUUUCUAACCAUUUUGUUCUAUAACAUGCACAUGCUGGCCUUUCAUGUUUUGUCGCGAGCAACAAGACGAAGAAGUCGGAAGAAGCAUAGUUCUAGCUCAUUGGAGCUAGUUCAAGGAGUAAUGAAGCCCUUGAUGCUGAUCUGUUGGAACAAACUGAAGCACGAACUUGGCUCAUGUGAUCCACUUGUAGAGCUUAUUAUACUGUGA